UUGAACGCUGGCGGCAGGCCUAACACAUGCAAGUCGAGCGGCAGCGCGGGGCAACCUGGCGGCGAGCGGCGGACGGGUGAGUAACGCGUAGGAAUCUACCCAGUAGCGGGGGAUAGCCCGGGGAAACUCGGAUUAAUACCGCAUACGCCCUAAGGGGGAAAGCGGGGUCGCAAGACCUCGCACUAUUGGAAGAGCCUGCGUUGGAUUAGCUAGUUGGUAGGGUAAAGGCCUACCAAGGCAACGAUCCAUAACUGGUCUGAGAGGAUGAUCAGUCACACCGGAACUGAGACACGGUCCGGACUCCUACGGGAGGCAGCAGUGGGGAAUAUUGGACAAUGGGGGCAACCCUGAUCCAGCCAUGCCGCGUGUGUGAAGAAGGCCUUCGGGUUGUAAAGCACUUUAAGUGGGGAGAAAGGUUCGUCGGUUAAUACCCGGCGGAAUUGAUGUUACCCACAGAAUAAGCACCGGCUAACUCUGUGCCAGCAGCCGCGGUAA
rnacentral:rRNA from 1 species